rnacentral:rRNA from 1 species
CCAGACUCCUGCGGGAGGCAGCAGUGGGGAAUAUUGCACAAUGGGGGGAACCCUGAUGCAGCGACGCCGCGUGGGUGAAGGAGUAUUUCGGUAUGUAAAGCCCUAUCAGCAGGGAAGAAAAUGACGGUACCUGACUAAGAAGCCCCGGCUAACUACGUGCCAGCAGCCGCGGUAAUACGUAGGGGGCAAGCGUUAUCCGGAUUUACUGGGUGUAAAGGGAGCGUAGACGGUUAUGCAAGUCUGAAGUGAAAGCCCAAGGCUCAACCAUGGGACUGCUUUGGAAACUGUAAGACUGGAGUGCAGGAGAGGUAAGCGGAAUUCCUAGUGUAGCGGUGAAAUGCGUAGAUAUUAGGAGGAACACCAG